GAGAAGGGUCAGGUUAGACUUGAGAUUACCCUGUCGCCUUGUGUGCGUAUAUACCGUGUUCCUACCGUUAUCUCGAUGGCAUUGCUUGACGAUAUUAUGCUACUGUAAAUUUGCUCAGAGUACGUGAUGUUGUUGUGUAUGUCACGUGUUCCAAGUGUUACACAGACUGUCGCCUUUGGGAUCAAGUGUGGUGGGGUCGCACGUUGCACAGACACGUUCCUGAUCCCAGAGGCAGAAAAGCGUCGAGGAAGAGGCUGACCCUCCUUUCGAGAAUAAGGGGUUUGCCGGGGCAGAGUUCCUCCUCCUCCUCCUCUGCUGCCUCCUUCCCUCAGCAAGCAGCGGGUCGAUGGUUGUGCCUCGCCCAGGUCCCUGCUGCUGCUGCCUCCCUGCCUGCCUCCCCGCUCCCCUCGUGCUAAGACGCAACCACUUCAUUUGGUGCGUAGUGCAGCUUUCAGCAGAAAAAAAAGGAAGAAACUGAAGACUUUGAAAGGAGUUAAACAUACGUGAGGAGAUGCUGAAUAAAGUAAAAAAAUGCAUGCCAAAAUGGAUGCAUGCAAAAUAUGUGCAAAAAUCGCCAAAAACAAUUGUACGCGUGUGAAAAUAAUUUGUGUACUAUAAAAUAUUUACGCACAUACUUAUAAAUUCCACAUGCAUACAAUCUUAUUAUCUACGGGGAAAAAUUGUUUGCACGUUCUUUGUGUGUGUGUGUGUGUGUGUGUGUGUGUGUGUGUGUGUGUAAUCCUUAUUUUUUCCACGGGGAUGGAAAUAAUUUGCUCGUGUGUCGCAGACGGGACUAAACUGCAUGAUUAACAGUUCCCAGUGGUCACUCAGGAAUUGUUACAUAGUCGCUGUAACAAUUACAUAGUCGCUGAUGUGGUGCGGGCAGUUAGGAUGAAGGCGCAGGUUUUGUUACUACUCGUGGUUACGACCCUUCCGAACCAAGGCUGAACAUCUGCGUACAGAUUCGAUUUGAUAGCUGUCAGCCUCCCGUUCGGGGCGCAUCAUUCUUCCCCAGACUGUGUUUAUACAGCUAUGCAAUUUCUCCAUUAAAGUGUAAUUCAACUGUCUUGCCAUCCAUCUGAAAUAUAAAUAGUGAAAUAUAUUACGAAAAACAUGCAGAAAAAUAUGUUCGGGUAAUUCACUUUCCUUGUGGUUUGUACUAGAAAAUCACAUUUUAUCACUUCUUUUAGACACUUGAUAUCACUCAUAUUUCCUGGAAAUGACUGUAACUUUCUGGAUCCGAAGGAUGAUCAGUGAAUAUUAUACUGCAAACGUUUGAUUUUAUAUUUUUUUCCCAUUUUUCCAUUUGGGAUCGGGGCGCACGGAUCAGCUUUACUUGUGGGAGGAAGAACAAAGGAGGGAAGAUCAACAUGGGGCCAAGGUUGGCGAGGAGAGGAGUAUGGUAUUAUGAGUGUCGGAAACACACGAGAGGGGGCGAGAGGAAAUAAGAGGUGAGCAAGGGGUAAUGAGAGGUCAGCGGGAAAGUGAGACGAGACUACCGGGUACAGAGAGAGAGAGAGAGAGAGAGAGAGAGAGAGAGAGAGAGAGAGAGAGAGAG